rnacentral:rRNA from 1 species
AACGAACGUUAGCGGCGCGCCUAACACAUGCAAGUCGAGCGAGAAAGGGCUUCGGCCCCGGUAAAGCGGCGCACGGGUGAGUAACACGUGGAUAACCUACCCCUUGGUGGUGGAUAACCUUCCGAAAGGAGGGCUAAUACAGCGUAAGACCACGACUUCGAAAGGGGUUGAGGUCAAAGCUGGCCUCUAUACAUAAGCUAGCACCUGAGGAUGAGCCCGCGGAGCAUCAGCUAGUUGGUGAGGUAAAUGGCUCACCAAGGCUAAGACGCUUAGCUGGUCUGAGAGGAUGAUCAGCCACACUGGAACUGAGACACGGUCCAGACUCCUACGGGAGGCGAGCGAGGGUAGGGGGUAAUUCUUGCGACAAGUGGGACGAAACGCCGUGACGCAGCGACCGCCGCGUGAGUGAUAGGAACGG